AGGCCUACCCUAGCCCGACCACUCCCCAUUAAGACAGCCUAAAAAUUCACUCUCCCAUAAAAACUAAAACAUUCAUUAAACUUAGUAUAGGUGAUAGAAAAGACCUCCUCGGCGCAAUAGAUCCUAGUACCGCAAGGGAAAGAUGAAAUAGAAGUGAAAACCUAAGCAACAAAUAGCAAAGACAAACCCUUGUACCUCUUGCAUCAUGAUUUAGCAAGAACAACCAAGCAAAAUGGACUUAAGCUUGCCCCCCCGAAACCCAAGCGAGCUACUUACAAGCAGCUAUUCAUGAGCGAACCCGUCUCUGUUGCAAAAGAGUGGGAUGACUUGUUAGUAGAGGUGAAAAGCCAACCGAGCUGGGUGAUAGCUGGUUGCCUGUGAAGCGAAUCUAAGUUCCCCCUUGGCCAACUCACUCGGCCACUAACCCUAACCAUCCACGUAGAAGGCCAAGAGUAAUUUAAAGGAGGUACAGCUCCUUUAAAAGAGAAUACAAUCUCCACUAGAGGGUAAAUCCCAACUACACAAAUUACUGUAGGCCUUUAAGCAGCCAUCAAUAAAGAGUGCGUCAAAGCUCAGUUACAUAAAAAUAUAAGAACAACAUGAACCCCUCCUCAUUAACAGGCCAACCUAUAACAAUAGGAGAAUUAAUGCUAAAAUGAGUAACCAUGGGACCCACCCCCUCUCAAGCGCAAGCUUACAUCCAUACAUUAUUAACAAGUUUCAUUUAAUAUGCAAAUUAUAACAAGACUAAAAUAUUAUACUUCACCUUGUUACCCCAACUCAGGAGCGCUUAUUAGAGUGAUUAAAAUCUGUAAAAGGAACUAGGCAAACCCAGGGCCCGACUGUUUACCAAAAACAUAGCCUUCAGCCAACCAAGUAUUGAAGGUGAUGCCUGCCCAGUGACUCAGCGUUUAACGGCCGCGGUAUCCUAACCGUGCGAAGGUAGCGCAAUCAAUUGUCUCAUAAAUCGAGACUUGUAUGAAUGGCUAAACGAGGUCCUAACUGUCUCUUACAGACAAUCAGUGAAAUUGAUCUUCCUGUGCAAAAGCAGGAAUGAGCCCAUAAGACGAGAAGACCCUGUGGAACUUCAAAAUCAGCGGCCACCGCCCACAAACCUAAACCCACCAGGCCCACCACCCAUAAACGCUGGCUCGCAUUUUUUGGUUGGGGCGACCUUGGAGAAAAAUAAAUCCUCCAAAAAUAAGACCACAACUCUUAACUAAGAGCAACCCCUCAACGUACUAAUAGUAACCAGACCCAAUACAAUUGAGCAAUGGACUAAGCUACCCCAGGGAUAACAGCGCAAUCUCCUCCAAGAGCCCACAUCGACGAGGAGGUUUACGACCUCGAUGUUGGAUCAGGACAUCCUAAUGGUGUAGCAGCUAUUAAGGGUUCGUUUGUUCAACGAUUAAUAGUCCUACGUGAUCUGAGUUCAGACCGGAGCAAUCCAGGUCGGUUUCUAUCUAUGAUGAACUUUCCCUAGUACGAAAGGACCGAGAAAGUGGGGCCAAUGUAACAAACAUGCCCUCCUCCAAGUAAUGAAACCAACUAAAUUACUUAGAAGUCACUUUCACCUACUCCUAGAAAAGGAUCG
rnacentral:rRNA from 1 species